UUCGGGUGGACGAUGGAUCAGCUUAGUGGCGGACGGGUGAGUAACACGUGAGCAACCUGCCUACAAGAGGGGGACAACAGCUGGAAACGGCUGCUAAUACCGCAUAAGACCACGAUCCUGCAUGGGGAAGAGGUCAAAGGAGAAAUCCGCUUGUAGAUGGGCUCGCGUCCCAUUAGCUAGUUGGUAGGGUAAAGGCUUACCAAGGCGACGAUGGGUAGCCGACCUGAGAGGGUGAUCGGCCACACUGGAACUGAGACACGGUCCAGACUCC
rnacentral:rRNA from 1 species